GACGUAGGGCGCGAGCGUUGUCCGGAUUAUUGGGCGUAAAGAGCUCGUAGGCGGCUUGUCGCGUCGAAUGUGAAAUCUCAGGGCUCAACUCUGACAUUGCAUUCGAUACGGGCAGGCUCGAGUUCGGUAGGGGAGACUGGAAUUCCUGGUGUAGCGGUGAAAUGCGCAGAUAUCAGGAGGAACACCGGUGGCGAAGGCGGUUCUCUGGGCCUGACCUGACGCUGAGGAGCGAAAGCGUGGGGAGCGAACAGG
rnacentral:rRNA from 1 species